UUUUAUUUGAUUUAAUUAUUAAAAUUUUUAUUUGAUUUAAUUAUUAAAAUUUUUAUUUGAUUUAAUUAUUAAUAUAAAUUAUAAUUAUAAUAAAAUUUAAGAAUCAAUUUCCAUUAAUAUAUUUACAAAAAAAAAACAAUUUUAUUAUAAAUCAUUAAUUAAAUAUACUGUGUACUAUAUAAAAAUUUUAAAAACAAUCAAAUAUUUUAAAAAAAUCUAUAAUUUUUUGUUAAAUAUAAAAAAUAAAAU
rnacentral:tRNA from 1 species